UUUCCAAACAUGAAAUCUUUGGACAAGAAGGGGCUUCAACAACUGACAAAUUGAUUGAAUUAGAAUACAGGAGAUGGAAGAGCUUGGUUAUGAAUACACAAAGCAGAGGCUUGCAUAUACACGUGCUCAGAAAUACCAAUCAAUACCUUUUCUUCGGAUAGCUGCUAUGUGGGAAGAAGAAAAGGUGUAUUCAUUGGAUUGGACUUCUGAAAAGAAUCGAGAAAAAUGAGAGAAAAAUGAGAGUUACAUAUGGUAUUGAUGAGUCGUACAAGUUAUCAGUUCUUACAUCUGGGAAGCCUUCUUUGUAAUCAUUUUUUUGCUGCUUAGCUACAUAUAAAGUUUAA